rnacentral:rRNA from 1 species
GUCCACGCCUUAAACUAUGAAUACUAAGUGUCGGCGGUUUACCGCCGGUGCCGCAGCUAACGCAUUAAGUAUUCCGCCUGGGAAGUACGGCCGCAAGGUUGAAACUCAAAGGAAUUGACGGGGCCGCACAAGCGGUGGAGCAUGUGGUUUAAUUUCGACGCAACGCGAAGAACCUUACCCAGGCUGGACAUGCAGGUAGUAGAAGGGUGAAGCCACGAGGUAGCAAUACCAUCCUGCUCAGGUGCUGCAUGGCUGUCGU